rnacentral:lncRNA from 1 species
GUGCACAUGAACCCAUAUUUUGGUUCAUACCCAGGCAUGGCAUUAAAAUAUGUACGGGGUGUUCUGGAUAUGUGGAGUGUAUGUGGAGGUUGUGAGUAGGUCAACAUUGAAUCGAUCACUCCUAGUAAGAGGAGAUCGCAUCGUGUGUAUUCUCAAUUCUAGAUGACUUGAAAAAAAAAAUUUGACCAAAAGAAGAAAAGAGAUUAGAAAUAGUUUCUAAUACUUCUUCAUUAGAGUCAUCAUUGGCUAGUUGAGAAUCGAUAUGAAUAUGUGUUUGAGUUUGACAUGAUACCAUACUCAUGAAUAUAUUUAGGGU